rnacentral:lncRNA from 1 species
GGACAGCCUCCGAACCCGGGCGGGACAGGAUCCCGACGUCGGGAUCCGCAGAGGUGCGCUUAGGUUUGGCGAGGGCUGAGGUCACUGAGAGACCUCUUGGAGGAACGAGUACGCACGCUGGCGAAGCUGAGGAGAAUUUACCGUGGUGGUACGAGGGAUAUUUUGAAUGAACGGGAGCUGCCUGUCCCAGCAGCCAGCUGUGAGCCAAGAAGCCCCAGAGCCAUGAGAGGAUGCCUUAAGACAAUGAACAAGAUGAGAAGCUGAUCUACAGGUAAGGAGAGCCAUUUGUAAGCUCUACCUGUAAACAGGCUUUACCUGUUUACCUAACUAUCUCUCUAGGGGCAGCAAGCUGAGUUUUACCCUGCUUCCAAAAGAAUCAGAAAAGCACAAAGAACUUUCAUCUCAUUUGCUUCCAGAUAUAAUCCUGCUCAGCAUCAGUCAAGCUUCACAAAAGAAAACAAACACAGGACAAAAUGUGAAUAUGACAAAAUAUGAGUAGUCACCUAAACAAAUAUCAUAAUGCAAAAAUAAAGAAAAUGGCUUAGCCUUUUUGUGAGCUAAUUACAGCAUUUUUAUUAGGAAAAGGAAGAGUAGAAAAUGUUCAGCUGUGAUCACUGAUUUCACAAAGAUAUCUUGCUAGGUUUCAAGGUGUGAUAAGGGUAUGGCAGCCACGGGUUUCAUAUCCCUUCAAGAGCCCCUGCCUAUGUCUCCAGUCCUUUCCAUCAUGGCAAUAUUAUAGGUCCCAUCAGUAGUCCACCCCUUGAGCAUCCAGCACACAGAGACAAGUAUACAGGUUUCCUCUUUAUCUGACAUGAUACAGCUGAACACCAAGGUCUUGGAAGGUAAGAUAGCUGAGGUAUAAAGUGAAAAGAACCAUGGGGUAGCAGUAUGUCUUCAUCCAUGGUGUCUGACUUCUGAGAUGUUUGACUUAAUCUUAUAGCAACCAGCUUUACCCUAUCAAAGUAAACUUCCACAGAAUUGGCAUGUACCUUCGGGCCUAGAGGAAAAGCUUUAUUUUCUGAAUUACACAGGAAAUACAGUUAUCAUUGCCAUUUCCGGUCACCUAUUCUUUACAGAUGCACUCUGCCUCUUGACCUACAUAAAAAAGAAAAUAGUCACUCUUCCCUUUUGUCUCUCAUCCAGAAAGCUAGGCUUUCUGCUUUUCCCUAACCCAUCAGGCCACUAUUGAUCCUGAGGCUUAGUGUCCAUUGUCACAGAUCAUCAUAAUGAAGCCUGCCUCACUUGUUUAGUUAAUUCCUCAGCCUCUGAUUAUUUGAAUUUGUAAGUCCUGUUUAAAUCCUCAACAAGCAAAAGAUUCAAGUCACACCCACUGAUGAUGAUUGCCAAACAAACAAAAAAAAUCACAGUUGUUGAUAAGGAUAUGGAGAAACUAGAACUUUUGUGCAGUACUGGUAAGGAUAUAAAGUGAUGCAUCUAUUAUAAAAACAGGAUGGCAGUUAAUCAAAAAAUUAAAAAUAGAAUUACUAUAUGGCCCAGCAAUUCCACUUUUGGUUAUAGCCCCAAAAGAACUAAAAGCAAGGACUUGGGCAAAUAUUUGUACAUGUAUAUUCAUAAUAGCCUUCUCUGCAAUAGAAAAAAAAGUAAGAGCAGUGUGAUGUAUGCAUACAAUGGAAUAUUAGUGGACAUGAAAAAGGAAAUUCUGCUACAUGCCAUAACAUAGAUGAAUUUUGAGGACAUUAUGCUAAGUGAAAUAAGCCAGUCACAAAAGAAUAAAUGCUCUAUGAUUCCACUUGUGUAAAGUACUUAGAGUAGUCAACUUCAGAAACAUGCAAUAGAAUCAUAAUUGUAGGGCUGAAGGUAGGGGAAAUAGGGAGAUAUUGUUUAGCAUGUACAGUUUCAGUUUUCAAGAUGAAAAAGUUCUAGAAAUAGAUGGUAGAAAUGGUUGCACAACAAUGUGGAUGUACUUACUGCCACUGAAUUGUAUGCUUAAAAAUGGUUAAGAUGGUAAUUUUUAUGUUAUGUGUAUUUUACCACAAUUUUAAUGAGAAAGUUCUCAGGAUUUAUAUCACUUUCUUGAAAAAGUAAUGAAUUUACAUCUGAACUAUGCCACUUACCUGUGCUUUGAUCUCACACCACAAUUCUACUUUUUAAAAAAUCUAUUGGCUAUGAAUGCAAGAGUGUUUGUGUGUGUGUGUGUGUGUGUGUGUGUGUGUGUGUAAGAAUUAUGUAAGUAUCUGUUGUGAAGUAAAUGGCAAACUACAUUCCAAAGGGGGUAAAUAUUAUGGGAAUGCUACACAUAAGUGGAAAAUCUGCAAGGAGUUGUGAUCACUUGUAAUAGAGAUAACAGGAAAUUUUUAUGGAGGAUCCAGCAUUUGAGUUGAACUUCAGAGAAUUGGCAGAAUUUAGAAUGGUGCAGAUACUGGAGGCAUCUGAAGCAGAGGGAGAGGCCUAUGUAUAUGUGCACCCAUAUUUAUAGCGGCACAGUUUGUAAUAGCUAAAACUUGAAAACAGUUCAAUCGCCCAUCAACUGGAGACUGGAUAAAGAAGAUUUUUUUUUUAUAAAAUGAAUACUACUCAGCCAUAAAGAAUGAGAAAUUAGAGACAUUUAUAGCUAAAUGGAUGCACAUUGAGGCCAUACUCUUAAGUGAAAUAAAUAGGACACCCAUGUGUAAAUACUAAAUAGUUUCUAUGGUGUGAGAAACUGAAAGUGUAAAUAAGGAUCAAGAUGUAUAAUAGAUAAUGUGAAAUAGGAAGAUAAGGCCCAAAGGGUAAGGGGAAGUGGGAGGGGUAGGGGAAAGGAAAGUAAUAAAUAUGAGAAAAUGAAAAAAUGGAAAGAAAGUCUUUGUAAAUAGGGA